CAAGCGUCUGGGGUAAGGAGUAGUCACUGCCAUCAACCCCACUGAUGAGUCUCAAGCACAGUGUCGCUGAGACGAAACGCAUC
rnacentral:hammerhead_ribozyme from 17 species